GAUGAACGCUGGCGGCGUGCCUAAUACAUGCAAGUCGAGCGAACAGACGAGGAGCUUGCUCCUCUGACGUUAGCGGCGGACGGGUGAGUAACACGUGGAUAACCUACCUAUAAGACUGGGAUAACUUCGGGAAACCGGAGCUAAUACCGGAUAAUAUAUUGAACCGCAUGGUUCAAUAGUGAAAGACGGUUUUGCUGUCACUUAUAGAUGGAUCCGCGCCGCAUUAGCUAGUUGGUAAGGUAACGGCUUACCAAGGCAACGAUGCGUAACCGACCUGAGAGGGUGAUCGGCCACACUGGAACUGAGACACGGUCCAGACUCCUACGGGAGGCGGCAGUAGGGAAUCUUCCGCAAUGGGCGAAAGCCUGACGGAGCAACGCCGCGUGAGUGAUGAAGGUCUUCGGAUCGUAAAACUCUGUUAUUAGGGAAGAACAAAUGUGUAAGUAACUAUGCACGUCUUGACGGUACCUAAUCAGAAAGCCACGGCUAACUACGUG
rnacentral:rRNA from 1 species